rnacentral:rRNA from 1 species
UAGUAACGGCGAGUGAAGCGGCAACAGCUCAAAUUUGAAAUCUGGCCCUCGGGUCCGAAUUGUAAUUUGUAGAGGAUGAUUUUGGUGCGGUAUCUUCCGAGUUCCUUGGAACAGGACGCCUUAGAGGGUGAGAGCCCCGUACGGUUGAAUGCCUAGCCUCUGUAAAUCUCCUUCGACGAGUCGAGUAGUUUGGGAAUGCUGCUCUAAAUGGGAGGUAAAUUUCUUCUAAAGCUAAAUAUUGGCCAGAGACCGAUAGCGCACAAGUAGAGUGAUCGAAAGAUGAAAAGCACUUUGAAAAGAGGGUUAAAUAGCACGUGAAAUUGUUGAAAGGGAAGGAUUUGUGACCAGACUUUUUCUGGGCGGAUCAUCCGGGGUUCUCUCCGGUGCACUUUGCCCAGUAAAGGCCAGCAUCGAUUUUCGGCGGCGGAUAAAAGCAGUGGGAAUGUGGCUCCCUACGGGGAGUGUUAUAGCCCAUUGUAUAAUACGCUGCUGGGGAUCGAGGUACGCGCUUCUGCAAGGAUGCUGGCGUAAUGGUUAUCAAUCACCCGUCUUGAAACACGGACCAAGGAGUCGAACAUUUAUGCGAGUGUUUGGGUGUUAAACCCUCACGCGUAAUGAAAGUGAACGGAGGUGAGAGCCCGUACGGGUGCAUCAUCGACCGAUCCUGAAGUUUUCGGAUGGAUUUGAGUAAGAGCAUAACUGUUCGGACCCGAAAGAUGGUGAACUAUGCGUGGAUAGGGUGAAGCCAGAGGAAACUCUGGUGGAGGCUCGCAGCGGUUCUGACGUGCAAAUCGAUCGUCAAAUCUGCGCAUGGGGGCGAAAGACUAAUCGAACCAUCUAGUAGCU